GGAAACGGCAUUUAGUGCUUGCACUGAAUGGACGUCGACCGGCGCACGGGUGAGUAACGCGUAUCCAACCUACCCAUUACUGUGGGAUAACCUGCCGAAAGGCAGACUAAUACCGCAUAGUCUUCGAUGACGGCAUCAGAUUUGAAGUAAAGAUUUAUCGGUAAUGGAUGGGGAUGCGUCUGAUUAGCUUGUUGGCGGGGUAACGGCCCACCAAGGCUACGAUCAGUAGGGGUUCUGAGAGGAAGGUCCCCCACAUUGGAACUGAGACACGGUCCAAACUCCUACGGGAGGCAGCAGUGAGGAAUAUUGGUCAAUGGGCGCGAGCCUGAACCAGCCAAGUAGCGUGCAGGAUGACGGCCCUAUGGGUUGUAAACUGCUUUUGUAUGGGGAUAAAGUCAAUCACGUGUGAUUGUUUGCAGGUACCAUACGAAUAAGGACCGGCUAAUUCCGUGCCAGCAGCCGCGGUAAUACGGAAGGUCCGGGCGUUAUCCGGAUUUAUUGGGUUUAAAGGGAGCGUAGGCCGGAGAUUAAGUGUGUUGUGAAAUGUAGACGCUCAACGUCUGACUUGCAGCGCAUACUGGUUUCCUUGAGUACGCACAACGUUGGCGGAAUUCGUCGUGUAGCGGUGAAAUGCUUAGAUAUGACGAAGAACUCCGAUUGCGAAGGCAGCUGACGGGAGCGCAACUGACGCUUAAGCUCGAAGGUGCGGGUAUCGAACAGGAUUAGAUACCCUGGUAGUCCGCACAGUAAACGAUG
rnacentral:rRNA from 1 species